ensembl:lncRNA
ACAUUAAUAAGUGUUGAGCUACUGAAAUCUCUCUCAACAAAGUGCAAUUUCCUGUGCCACAUCAUUUCGAACAAAACGUUAGGACCAGAAUAUAUUUUGUUCUCUGAAUUUUUUUUAUUUUAUUUUUUUUGCAGAAGCAGGAGAGACAUCCCUCCUCAACUAAUGUGGCAGCAAACAAGGUUCACAUUAAAACUGGGAAAACCUCAAGUGCAGCGGGGCCAAUGGAAGGUCUCUUGCCCUUAUAGAGCUGGGAUGAGCUCUGAUAAAUGGAAAACGGGGAAGACUAUGGAUAACCAAAAUUGAGAUCAAAGGCGAGCUUCAAAGCAUCAGGAGGAAUCUGAAGCUAAAGGGGUCUGUCUCUCUCUCUCCAUCUCAUUCCUAUGCUUCUCAAACACUCCAGCAGACACCACCCAGCACCCGUCUGAGUGAGGGCAUGCCUCUUACACCCUUCUUCAUCAUCACGUUGGCUCUCUUUAUCUGAUAAGUCACAAACACAGCUAACAAAGACGGAGAAAAAUGACACAUUGCCGAUUAAAUGAACUAGAAACAACAGAUUAAAUGUUCUAAGGCCACAGGGGGGAAAACAACAAGCGCCAUUUGAGCCGCGUCAAUCUAUGUCUUCACAUCCGAUACUGCAUUUUUACCGUAUAAACUGAGCUGAGAAGUCUCUCCCUGAUACCUCUAUGAACCUAAGAUGACUCUGACCUGAACGACCUUGUCUAUUUUGGUUCGGAUGAUCUUCAAAAACAGCUCUACCUGCCAUCAUGCAUUAUAAAUGAAAGCUAUGUUGUCUUUUGUUCAUGCGUUCUGUUGACAUACAUCAUGUCAGGCGGGGGAAUAAAAGACAGGGAAAAAAAAGAGAUUGGAAAAAA